rnacentral:rRNA from 1 species
CCUACGGGAGGCAGCAGUGAGGAAUAUUGGUCAAUGGGCUUACGCCUGAACCAGCCAAGUCGCGUGAGGGAAGACUGCCCUAUGGGUUGUAAACCUCUUUUGUCAGGGAGCAAUUGGCGCUACGUGUUGCGUUAUCGAGAGUACCUGACGAAAAAGCAUCCGCUAACUCCGUGCCAGCAGCCGCGUUACUAGGGGGGAUGCGAGCGUUAUCCGGAUUUAUUGGGGUUAAAGGGUACGUAGGGGGAAUACAAAGUCAGCGGUAAAAUCGCGGGGCUCAACCUCGCUCCGCCGUUGAACCUGGCGUUCUUGAGGGGUCGAGAAGUAUGCGGAAUGCGUGGUGUAGCGGUGAAAUGCAUAGAUAUCACGCAGAACUCCGAUUGCGAAGGCAGCAUACCGGCGCCCAACUGACGCUGAAGCACGAAAGCGUGGGUAUCGAACAGGAUUAGAUACCCCUGUAGUC